AUUCGCACCCAGAAACAAGGCUCUACCAAGUACACCCCGUUCUUUUUGAUGUUUGGUCGCCACCCUCGCCCCCCUAUGGAGCUCGGCACUAAUGAUCCAUCUGUUGAGCUGCCAGUGGUCGAUGACAUGGAGAUAGAGAAAAUGGUGGCCGAGAAGAGCAGCAUCAUGUCUUCCACGAAAGAGCAGGUUCAGCUGCAAUCUGAGGAAGAUAUUUCUACCUCUGCUUCCAGAGAAUGGAAAGAACCAAUGUUCUAAGAUGUGCUUAAGAAUGUUGACAGAGCCCAGGAGAAACAGAAAGAGCACUUUGCCCGACGAAAAUC